GACGAACGCUGGCGGCGUGCUUAACACAUGCAAGUCGAGCGACGCUCUUCCUUCGGGGAGAUGACGGAGCGGCGAACGGGUGAGUAACACAUGGGCAACCUGCCCCCAGCUCUGGGACAACACCGGGAAACCGGUGCUAAUACCGGAGACGACAUCUAGCGGCAUCUCUCGAUGUGGAAAGAGUUUUCGGCUAGGGGUGGGCCCGCGGCCUAUCAGCUGGUUGGUGGGGGAUUGGCCCACCAAGGCGAGGACGGGGAGCCGGCGUGGGAGGGCGACCGGCCAGACUGGGAGUGAGGCACCGGACGGACACCUACGGGAGGGGGCGGGAGGGUAUCUUGCGCAAGGGGCGCAAGACGGAGGAAGCGCCGGCGCGGGAGGAAGGCCGGCCUUCGGGGAGCAACCCUCUUUCGGCAGGGACGAAUUCUGACGGUACCUGCAAAAGAAGCACCGGCUAACUACGUG
rnacentral:rRNA from 1 species